AUGGACGAAUGGCUCCGCCAGAGGCUCCGGCUCUCGCAGGACCAGGUCCUCGCGUACGUCCGCGAACUAACCAAGUUCAAGAAGAACGAGGGCGCGCUCGAGUUGCUGGACUGGAUGGAAGCUCAUGGAGCAAAGUUGAGGCUUGGGCAUCACGCACUGCGGCUUGACCUCAUUUCAAAAGUGCGUGGGAUACAGGCAGCUGAAGAAUAUUUCUGGAGCCUUCCAGAUAUAUGCAAGUCUGUGAAAACUUAUUCCUGUCUGCUUAACUGCUAUGGUAAACAUGGGUUGGCAUACAAAGGUCUGGAGCUCUAUGAGAAGAUGAAGGCCAAAAACAUUGUUCCAGAUAAACUGGUGUACAACAACUUGAUGAUUUUGUAUCAAAAGGCAGGCCAGCCAGAGAAAAUUCAAUCCACAUUUGAAGAAAUGCGAGGAAGUGGUGUAAGUGCUAAUAAGUUUACAUACUUCACCUUGAUAGAAAGCUAUAUCACAAUGAAUGACCUGGACGCUGCGGAGAAGGUCCUGGCAGAAUUGCAGAAGGUGGCUCCAGUUCACUGGUCCUUGUACACUCGGAUGGCAAACAAUUACAUUAAACUAAAGUUGUUUGGCAAGGCAGAAAUUGCCCUAAAGAAAGCUGAGGAAGUUAUGGACAAGGCUGACUUGUGCUCCUGGUAUGCCCUCCUCUCCUUACAUGCCCAUUGUGGCAAUUCAACCGAGGUGAAGAGGAUCUGGAAGUCUUUGAAGUCCACAUUCAAGAAAUGCUUGAACAGAAGCUAUCUUGUGAUGCUUCAAGCUCUGAGUAUGAUUGAUGACUUUGAGUCUUUGCAGCAAAUAUUUCAGGAGUGGCAAUCGAGUCAUGAACAUUAUGACACAAGGAUAGCAAAUGUUAUGAUCAAGGCUUACCUUGAUAAGGGUAUAAUAGACGAAGCUGAGGCUAUCCGUCAGAGCACAAUGGCACAGGGUCAUUGCGACGAGGAGAUGGUUUACAUAUUUGCAGAGUUCUAUCUGGAUAAAUCUGAUGUUAACACGGCACUGGAGAUCUUGAGAGAUGCAAAGAACAUGGUGACGGCACACAAAUGGGUGCUAUCGAAAGAGCUUGUGAGCAGAUUUCUGAAGCACUAUGAAGAGUCAAAGGAUGUUGCUGGUGCGGAGUCUUUCCUCGAGUGCCUGAAGAAGCUUGAAUGCCUUGAUCCGGACGCUUAUGAGGCCAUGAUGCAGACCUAUGUAGUUGCAGGUAGAACCAGAGACGACUGA
rnacentral:rRNA from 1 species